UUUGUGGCUUUGAUUGCUUGCUAUAAUUUAUUGCCUCUUUUAAAUCCCCAUCUAUUGCAAAACAAAUUGUAGGUUGGAAAAAUUGGUCAUUUUCCCGUUCAAUUGUUGUAAAAUAACAUGAGAUUUUGCAUGUGAUGAGACCUUUUUUUGGAUAACAAUUUGUAAGGUUUUUUCUUUUAUUAACAAGGAAAACUUACAAGUUUCACCAAAGAUGAAGUUGAGAAG
rnacentral:lncRNA from 1 species